UAAAUUUUUAAUUUAUUUAUUAUUUUAUAAAUAAAUAAAUUUAUUAAUUUAAAUAUUUUAAGGGAUAAGCUUUAAAAUAAAUUGUUAUAAAUGUAAAUAAAUAUAAGUUUAAAUAUAUGCUUAGAAUUAGCAAUUAUUAAUAAUUUUGUUAUAAAUUAUUUUAUAGAUAUAUUAUUUAUUAAUAUUUUAAUUUUUUAUAAAAAUUUUUUUUUUAAUUUUAUUUAAAAAGUAAUAAUGAUAAAAUUAGUAUAUAAUUUUAUGUUAAAUAAUUUUAUGUGAUAAGUUUAUAUAAAGAACUCGGCAAAUAUUUUACUCGCCUGUUUAACAAAAACAUGUCUUUUUGAGUUAUUUUAAAAGUCUAACCUGCCCAAUGAAAAAUUUUUUAAUGGCCGCAGUAUUUUAACUGUGCAAAGGUAGCAUAAUCAUUAGUCUUUUAAUUGAG
rnacentral:rRNA from 1 species